rnacentral:rRNA from 1 species
CUCGAGAUAACUCCAACCCAAUGUGAACGUUACCAAACUGUUGCCUCGGCGGGAUCUCUGCCCCGGGUGCGUCGCAGCCCCGGACCAAGGCCCCCCCCGGAGGACCAACCAAAACUCUUUUUGUAUACCCCCUCGCGGGUUUUUUAUAAUCUGAGCCUUCUCGGCCCCUCUCGUAGGCGUUUCGAAAAUGAAUCAAAACUUUCAACAACGGAUCUCUUGGUUCUGGCAUCGAUGAAGAACGCAGCGAAAUGCGAUAAGUAAUGUGAAUUGCAGAAUUCAGUGAAUCAUCGAAUCUUUGAACGCACAUUGCCCCCCCCAGUAUUCUGGCGGGCAUGCCUGUCCGAGCGUCAUUUCAACCCUCGAACCCCUCCGGGGGGUCGGCGUUGGGGAUCGGCCCUGCCUUGGCGGUGGCCGUCUCCGAAAUACAGUGGCGGUCUCCCCGCAGCCUCUCCUGCGCAGUAGUUUGCACACUCGCAUCGGGAGCGCGGCGCGUCCACAGCCGUUAAACACCCAACUUCUGAAAUGUUGACCUCGGAUCAGGUAGGAAUACCCGCUGAACUUAAGCAUAUCAAUAAGCCGGAGGAAUUG